UCGCGAAUAUUCCGCAAUGGACGCAAGUCUGACGGAGCGACGCCGCGUGUGGGAUGAAGGCCUUAGGGUUGUAAACCACUGUCACACUUUAAGAAAUCAUCUAGGGUAACUCCUAGGUGUUGACAAAGGAGUGGAAGGAAGUCACGGCUAACUACGUGCCAGCAGCCGCGGUAAUACGUAGGUGGCAAACGUUGUUCGGAAUUACUGGGCAUAAAGAGUUUGUAGGCGGCUUAAUAAGUCAGGUGUGAAA
rnacentral:rRNA from 1 species